AAAAUAAAGAACUUUAUUACAUUCAGAGGGAGUUGAAACAUCUACAUAUGGAGAACUUACUAUGACAAGAGCACCUGCAUGUGAGAUGCAUAGGCUCAGAAACAGAGCCAAUAUUGCAAAAUCUUGAUGAAAUAGUUUCAUAGCAGUUUUGGAGUGGAAAAAACACAACUGUGAGACAAAGCAGUUCUACAGAUAAUUCUUUACAACCCUGAUUUAUGCUCUUUUCUCACUAAAAUACUUAUUUCAGUGCAGGAGAAAGGCAAAUUUAAAUUACUAUGAUAAUAGUUAUAAUAUUUUUUGUUCCUUAGAAGCAAAUCUUAAUUGUUCACAACUGUAGGAUACAUUUUACAAGUGAUCAAACACUGGAAACACAAACAAAAUACAGCAGAAUAGCAGGGGGGGGGAAAAAAAGCACUUGAAGCAAAGAAAGAGUGCCAGCGUCAAUUUUUACCUUUCUUAACUUAAGGUAUCUGAAAACUCAAGAGCACAGAAUAGCAGCUUCUUUUACUGGAGAGACAACAGAAAAACACUCGUAUAGUUUUGAGUAAAAUUUCCAUCCACAGAAUAAAAUCUACUCAUUUACAUAGCUUGAAGAAUGCAGUCUCUUCUGCGCUUUUUCCCCUAUGGAAAGAAACCAUUUUGACUUUUUUAAAGUGCUGUGAACCUCAGAGUAAGGUGACAAAUAAUACAUAUUACUAAAGAAGUAUUUCAGCACAGCCAUCAAGGAGCAUUUAAAAGAUUUUUCAGUGUCAUGGGGUGAUGGCAGGCUUCCAGCCCAGAGCUGUUGUACAAUUAUAGCCAUUAGGGAAUAGUUGGGGAAAAAAAUGAAAGCUGAUACUAUAUCUUCCUCUCUCUGCACAACUGGAAGCCAAAUUAUCCAGCAAUGAGCUGCAAAAACAAAACCUAAACAAAACCUCAUUGGUCCCCUCCAACUCAAUUACAUGAUUCCGUGAUUCUGUGAGCUGCAAACUAGUUAUAUGUAUGAAAAGGCUGGAAUAAGGUGAUGCCCAGGAAAAAAAAGUAUGUAUAAUCCAGGGUAAUCUAAUUUUCAGCAAUGGGUAGUAGUAUGCUUUUGGAUAAGACUAGUUCGUUAUAUAUAACUGUAUAAAAACCUCUUUGCCCUCUCAAAUAAGUACAACUCGCACAUUUCCUUUGCCUAGUCACUGGCUGGUUAGUAAGUAAAAUCCCCUUCCUGAGCUAACCUUACAUGCAAGCUCAGAGAACAGGACUCAAACCUAGCCACAGCACACCUGCCCAUAUGACCAAUUGUGGUAUUCAGAGAGCCCCGUCCCACAGCAUGAUGAGGCAGACAGCCUCCUUAGAAGCACAAAGGAAGAGGGCAUCAAAAACAUUCACACCAUGAAAGAAAUGAGAAAAUAGAGAUUUCCAUUCUAAGUACUACAGAUUUAAAAUACAUCUUGUAGAGGAUUUGCAUGUUCUGGAUUAAAUAAUAUUCUCUUCACUCUCCCACAACUCAAAUCUAUUCAUUGUGGAUAAGACGAUGACUUAGGAAGUAAAUACAUAUAUGGACACGCACAGCAAUCUUCUUGAUAUUUCCCAUUGUUUGUAGGUAGUUACAGAAGGAACCAGUACUUUUAAGUCAGCUGUUCCAUCCAGUGGUGAUUUCAUAUUACACAAGAACC
rnacentral:lncRNA from 7 species